rnacentral:rRNA from 1 species
CCUACGGGAGGCAGCAGUGAGGAAUAUUGGUCAAUGGGCGGAAGCCUGAACCAGCCAAGUCGCGUGAGGGAAUAAGGCCCUACGGGUUGUAAACCUCUUUUGCCGGGGAGCAAGGGCCGGGACGUGUCCCGCCCCGGAGAGUACCCGGAGAAAAAGCAUCGGCUAACUCCGUGCCAGCAGCCGCGGUAAUACGGAGGAUGCGAGCGUUAUCCGGAUUUAUUGGGUUUAAAGGGUGCGUAGGCGGGCUGUUAAGUCAGCGGUAAAAAUUAGGGGCCAAACCCCUUACGGCCGUUGAAACUGGGGGCCUUGAGUGGGCGAGAAGAAGGCGGAAGGCGUGGUGUAGCGGUGAAAUGCAUAGAUAUCACGCAGAACCCCGAUUGCGAAGGCAGCAUUCCGGCGCCCUACUGACGCUGAGGCACGAAAGUGCGGGGAUCGAACAGGAUUAGAUACCCCAGUAGUC